AGAGUUUGAUCCUGGCUCAGAAUCAACGCUGGCGGCGUGCCUCAGACAUGCAAGUCGAACGCGAAAGCCUCCUUCGGGGGGCAAAUAGAGUGGCGCACGGGUGAGUAACACGUAGGUAAUCUACCUUUGGAUGGGGAAUAACCACCGGAAACGGUGGCUAAUACCGCAUAAUGCAGCGGCACCUAAUGGUGACAGUUGUUAAAGCGGGGGAUCGCAAGACCUCGCGUCUGAAGAGGAGCCUGCGGCAGAUUAGCUAGUUGGUAAGGUAACGGCUUACCAAGGCGAUGAUCUGUAGCCGGCCUGAGAGGGCGGUCGGCCACACUGACACUGACAUACGGGUCAGACUCCUACGGGAGGCAGCAGUCGGGAAUUUUGGGCAAUGGGCGAAAGCCUGACCCAGCAACGCCGCGUGAAGGAUGAAAUCCCUCGGGAUGUAAACUUCGCAAGAUCAGGAAGAAUAAGUAAGAGCUAACAUCUCUUACGAUGACGGUACUGUUUGUAAGCUCCGGCUAACUCCGUGCCAGCAGCCGCGGUAAUACGGGGGGAGCAAGCGUUGUUCGGAUUUACUGGGCGUAAAGGGCGCGUAGGCGGCCACCCGCAAGUCGACUGUGAAAUCUCCGGGCUUAACUCGGAAAGGUCAGCCGAUACUGCGGGGCUAGAGUGCAGAAGGGGCAACUGGAAUUCUCGGUGUAGCGGUGAAAUGCGUAGAUAUCGAGAGGAACACCUGCGGCGAAGGCGGGUUGCUGGGCUGACACUGACGCUGAGGCGCGAAAGCUAGGGGAGCGAACGGGAUUAGAUAC
rnacentral:rRNA from 1 species